rnacentral:rRNA from 1 species
GAUGAACGCUGGCGGCGUGCUUAACACAUGCAAGUCGAGCGAGUGAGUUCUUCGGAACAAUCUAGCGGCGGACGGGUGAGUAACACGUGGGCAACCUGCCUCAUAGAGGGGAAUAGCCUUCCGAAAGGAAGAUUAAUACCGCAUAACAUCGUUGAAGGGCAUCCUUCGAUGAUCAAAGGAGCAAUCCGCUAUGAGAUGGGCCCGCGGCGCAUUAGCUAGUUGGUGAGGUAACGGCUCACCAAGGCGACGAUGCGUAGCCGACCUGAGAGGGUGAUCGGCCACAUUGGGACUGAAACACGGCCCAGACCCCUACGGGAGGCAGCAGUGGGGAAUAUUGCACAAUGGGGGAAACCCUGAUGCAGCAACGCCGCGUGAGUGAUGACGGCCUUCGGGUUGUAAAGCUCUGUCUUUGGGGACGAUAAUGACGGUACCCAAGGAGGAAGUCACGGCUAACUACGUGCCAGCAGCCGCAGUAA